rnacentral:ncRNA from 1 species
CUGAGAGGAUGCGACUGAAGGAAGCGCAUAGCAAACUUACGAGCGUAGGAACACGAACCCGAUACAAGGCUAAAUGGGGGCUAAGGUUGCGAAACAAACCGAAGGCCAAAAGACGAAAGUAACCCCAAGAGAGUAAAUCGGGACGUUGUGUAAGGAAAGAAU